UACAGAGGAGCCAAGCGUUGUCCGGAUUGACUGGGCGUAAAGCGCACGCAGGCGGAUGCGCGCGUGGGGUGUGAAAUCUGGCCGCUUAACGGCCAGGCGCCAUCCCAUACGGCGCGUCUGGAGUGAUGCAGAGGUCGGUGGAAUUGCCGGUGUAGUGGUGAAAUGCGUAGAGAUGUGGAGGAACACCAGUGGCGAAGGCGACUCUUUGGCCUGUAACUGACGCUGAGGCGCGAAAGCGUGGGUAGCAAACAGG
rnacentral:rRNA from 1 species